UACGUAGGGUGCAAGCGUUAUUCGGAAUUACUGGGCGUAAAGAGCACGCAGGCGGUCUGUCAAGUCGUAUGUGAAAUUCCCACCAGCUCAACUUGGGGAGUGCAGUCGAUACUGGCAGGCUAGAGUACUGUAGAGGUGGGGUAGAAUUCCAGGUGUAGCGGUGAAAUGCGUAGAUGAUCUGGAGGAAUCACCGAUGGCGAAGGCGGCCUCCUGGACAAUGACUGACGCUCAGGUGCGAAAGCAUGGGGAGCAAACAGGAUUAGAU
rnacentral:rRNA from 1 species